UCCUCGUUAGUAUAGUGGUCAGUAUCCCCGCCUGUCACGCGGGAGACCGGGGUUCAAUUCCCUGACGGGGAG
rnacentral:tRNA from 1 species